rnacentral:misc_RNA from 1 species
GAUGAAGAACGCAGCAAAAUGCGAUAAGUAAUGUGAAUUGCAGAAUUCAGUGAAUCAUCGAAUCUUUGAACGCACAUUGCGCCCGCCAGUAUUCUGGCGGGCAUGCCUGUUCGAGCGUCAUUUCAACCCUCAAGCACAGCUUGGUGUUGGGAGUCGCGUUAAUUCGCGUUCCCCAAAUUGAUUGGCGGUCACGUCGAGCUUCCAUAGCGUAGUAGUAAAACCCUCGUUACUGGUAAUCGUCGCGGCCACGCCGUUAAACCCCAACUUCUGAAUGUUGACCUCGGAUCAGGUAGGAAUACCCGCUGAACUUAAGCAUAUCAAUAAGCGGAGGA